rnacentral:rRNA from 1 species
UACGUAGGGACCAAGCGUUGUUCGGAUUUACUGGGCGUAAAGGGCGCGUAGGCGGCGUGGUAAGUCACUUGUGAAAUCUCUGAGCUUAACUCAGAACGGUCAAGUGAUACUGCUGUGCUAGAGUGCGGAAGGGGCAAUCGGAAUUCUUGGUGUAGCGGUGAAAUGCGUAGAUAUCAAGAGGAACACCUGAGGUGAAGACGGGUUGCUGGGCCGACACUGACGCUGAUGCGCGAAAGCCAGGGGAGCAAACGGG